UGUAGGGAAAUGUGUGAGCCAGCUGCCAAGAAAAGCCGCUAUUGUUUGUACUGUACCCGUACCGUAAACCGACACAGGUAGGUGAGGAGAGAAUCCUAAGGCCGACGGGAGAAGCAUUGUUAAGGAACUCGGCAAAACGACUCCGUAACUUCGGGAGAAGGAGUGCCAGUGAGAGCUGGCCGCAGAGAAUUGGCCCAAGCAACUGUUUAGCAAAAACACAGGUCUAUGCAAAACCGUAAGGUGAAGUAUAUGGGCUGACGCCUGCCCGGUGCUGGAAGGUUAAGGGGAGAGGUUAGCGCAAGCGAAGCUUUGAACUUAAGCCCCAGUAAACGGCGGCCGUAACAAUAACGGUCCUAAGGUAGCGAAAUUCCUUGUCGGGUAAGUUCCGACCCGCACGAAAGGCGUAAUGAUUUGGGCACUGUCUCAACAAUGCACCCGGUGAAAUUGAAAUACCAGUGAAGAUGCUGGUUACCUGCGCCAGGACGGAAAGACCCCAUGGAGCUUUACUCCAGCUUGGUACUGGGAUUCGAUAUUGUAUGUACAGGAUAGGUGGGAGGCGUAGAAGCAUUGACGCCAGUUGAUGCGGAGCCGCUGUUGGGAUACCACCCUUGCAGUAUUGGAUUUCUAACCAGCAGCCGUGACCCGGCUGGGGGACAAUGUCAGGCGGGGAGUUUGACUGGGGCGGUCGCCUCCGAAAGGGUAUCGGAGGCGCUCAAAGGUUCCCUCAGAAUGGUUGGAAACCAUUCGAAGAGUGCAAAGGCAGAAGGGAGCUUGACUGCGACACCGACGGGUGGAGCAGGUACGAAAGUAGGACUUAGUGAUCCGGUGGUAUAAAGUGGGAUUGCCAUCGCUCAACGGAUAAAAGCUACCCUGGGAUAACAGGCUUAUCACUCCCAAGAGUUCACAUCGACGGAGUGGUUUGGCACCUCGAUGUCGGCUCAUCGCAUCCUGGGGCUGAAGUAGGUCCCAAGGGUUGGGCUGUUCGCCCAUUAAAGCGGUACGCGAGCUGGGUUCAGAACGUCGUGAGACAGUUUGGUCCCUAUCCGGCGUGGGCGUAGGAUAUUUGAGAGGAGCUGGCCUUAGUACGAGAGGACCGGGCUGGACUGACCGCUGGUGUAUCUGUUGUUCCGCCAGGAGCAUGGCAGAGUAGCCAAGUCAGGAAGGGAUAAACGCUGAAGGCAUCUAAGCGUGAAGCCCCCCUCAAGAUGAGAUAUCCCAACGCAAGUUGUAAGACCCCUUGAAGACGACAAGGUAGAUUGGGCAGAGGUGGAAGUGCAGUAAUGCAUGGAGCUGACUGUUACUAAUCGGUCGAGGGCAUAAUC
rnacentral:rRNA from 1 species